rnacentral:rRNA from 1 species
AGCGAACGCUGGCGGCAGGCCUAACACAUGCAAGUCGAACGAACCUUUCGGGGUUAGUGGCGGACGGGUGAGUAACACGUGGGAACGUGCCUUUAGGUUCGGAAUAACUCAGGGAAACUUGUGCUAAUACCGAAUGUGCCCUUCGGGGGAAAGAUUUAUCGCCUUUAGAGCGGCCCGCGUCUGAUUAGCUAGUUGGUGAGGUAAAGGCUCACCAAGGCGACGAUCAGUAGCUGGUCUGAGAGGAUGAUCAGCCACAUUGGGACUGAGACACGGCCCAAACUCCUACGGGAGGCAGCAGUGGGGAAUCUUGCGCAAUGGGCGAAAGCCUGACGCAGCCAUGCCGCGUGAAUGAUGAAGGUCUUAGGAUUGUAAAAUUCUUUCACCGGGGACGAUAAUGACGGUACCCGGAGAAGAAGCCCCGGCUAACUUCGUG